UGAGACUCAAGCUCUUUCUUAUUCAAUAGCCUGCUUUCUGUUUUCCUUACUACUACAGAUCAAGCUAUUUCCAGUUGUUUAUGGAUAUUUUAAUUGUUUUGAGACUUUUUUUUUUUAAAGAAGGAUUGUCUUAUGGUUCAUGUAUUGGCCUAGAUUUGAGGAGAUUUAGAUUCAUUUCCUGGCUCUGCCACAGACUUUGUGUAUUAUUAUUUAUCAUUUGAAUGGUCAUAGUCUCAUGAGGCCAAGCACGCCAGAGCCCCAUUGGGUAUACAAACAUAGUAAGAAACAUACCCUGCCUCAAAAAGCUUACUAACCAAUAGACGAGACAGACAAAGGGUAGGGGGGAAAAGCGUUUAUCUUCAUUUCAUAGAUGGUAUGGAGAGAUUAAGUGACUUAUCAAAGGUCAUCUUUUCUUUUAGAUUGUACACUCUUUUGGGCAAGGACUGCAUUUACUAUAUGUUUGCACAGUCCCUACAACAAUGAGGCGAGGGAGCGCAGUCUCAGCUGGGGCCUCUAAGCAUUUCUGUAACACAUUGUUAGUAAUACAUUUCCAUAUUUUUACAGUUUGAGGUUGAUAAAUAUACUGCCUCAAAUAUAUUAAAUAAGGGCUCUUCAAAGGGGGGAAGCUGAUCUCCUUAUUGAUCUCUUCCAGGUGUCCCAAGCAAGUGUGGCAAUCAUCAUGAUGCAGAAACAACCCCUUCUCUAGAAUUGCCUUCCUCUGUGCUGGGGGUUGGCCUCUUCUGGGAACUAUUUCCCAGAAGGCUUUUCUGGGGCCUGGUUCCUCUAACUGUGACAGAGACAAGCAGCUGCAGCCAUUAAGUAGCCAUUUUGCAAGAGAAUGCUGCUGUCUGCAUCUCCCAGUUGUCCAGAUGUUUGAUGAAGAUUUAGCAGCAAGCGGGUGAAUCCAUGUAGCCCCUUUAACAAAUGCAGGCUUGGGGAAAACUCAAGGUCAUGACUGUUCUGAAUAAAAAUAGUGGCAUAGGAGCCUGCUCCGACAGCGUUGCUUCUCAGCUAUCUCAGUGCAAAGAGGAAAUUGGAGCCUAAAUGAAGAACAUCGAUCCUCUGGUAGAUAAGGCAGUGUAGCCUUGAUCAUGCUGGGCUCAUUGCUAACUCUGGGUAUGCAAUCAGCAACAGCCAUCAAAGCUUGAUGCUGUCCAUCUUUAGCUAGCAAGCAGAAUCUGUCCAUUCCUCUUGGACAAUGACCAGGUCACAGCAGUUUGUACCUUUUUGCCCCCCACUCCCCGAAUUCACUCUCUUUGGCUCCUAACAAGAAGCUGAAAGACAAGCUACAGCUUGUGCAUAACACCAGCAUUCAUCUCUUUCUUUAUUCAUUACUAGAUCCACUUCAGUGCCAAUCUACAAAGCCUUUAAUAAAGCAAGCCUAUGUUAUUGCAGGGACCCUCUCUCUUUCCUUCUGCAACCCACCAGUACAAGUAUGAUCAGAGCCCAGAUAUGUACUUGAGGGAGCCAGAAGAAGAAUCUUCCCAACUGUAGUUCCAAGGCCCUGAAACACUCACCCAAUGGAGGUCAGAAAGAGUUAUGCCCUUCGCACCUUCUGAUCUGGUUGCAAGACUGUCCUGUUCAAUAAAACUUCCCCGAAAGUACCAGAAUAGAAGAAAACUUGGCAGUGUGCAUAAAAUUAGAACCCGGUGUUUAAAACAGAGUCGGACAGAGAACUGGCUUUCCCUUCCGGUUACAUUCCACUGUUUUGUGUAACCCCUGGGAAGUUCCUACACGCUAUGGUAAUAAGCACUUUAGAAUUUGGUUGCAAAGGGCUGAGGAAUGCAAGUGGGAAACUGGUCAGCACUGACACAGAGAAGUGAUGAGGGGAGGGUAUGUUCCAUCUAAAAAAAAUACAUGUAACGAGUACUGAAGGGGUGUUGGGACCCAGAGAGACACUAUGCCUAUUCCUGCCUUCUGCAAGAUAGUGCAAACAGGAACCCAAGCAAACUGUGCUCCACCUCUCUUUCCCUCACAGCUCAGGCUUGUGGAUCCCAUAAUAUGUAAAGGGCUUUGGUCUCUCUCUGUAAGUCCUUGACGUUCAGCAUGCUUGCUGCAGAAAAAUAUUGUUUUUCUAACUAGCCUGUUCCCAACAGAUCGCAAGCAGUGAACUUUGCCUAUGGGAGGUCACACCAUCCUCACAGUCACAACCACCUUGGGGUAAUACUCUUCAAUAAACUUCAUAAUAGGUGUCCCGAGGCGUGACCACAAGUUGGGUUCCACUGCUGAGAUGACAACAAUCUACCUCUGCUUCAGAUAUCUUUAUUGUGUCUUGUAAAGCAAAGGAGUGAGCCAACUUUUCCCCCCUGCAUGCUUUAUACUCGUUUGGUGUUUCUCUGGAUCCUCAUCUCUCAUUGUGUCAAAGUGAACAACUCGGUUCUGGGGCAGUGAAAUCACAUUUACAGGGUUUCACAAAAGAAAACAUUUUGUCCUUAUCUGGGUCCUGAAGAAACCAGCUGCCCAGGCAUGUGUCAUUUACUGUUGAAGCUUUUUUCACUUGCCCUAUCUUGUUCUGUAAAGGGAUUUUUUUUGCCCCUCUAGUGUGUCUCCUUGGCACUGCACAGAGAGAAAGUGUUCAGAGAGAUGCAGCAGCUUGCAUUGUAUUUUUUUUUUUUUGUAUAGCUCAGAAGAAAAUAAAGGGAGAAUUAAGCAGAUUUCAUGUCACAUACAAAAGAGAAUUUGUGGAAAUGUCAAACAAAAGCAAUAAAGCAGCCAACAUGUGCAAAUCCAGAAAACAAGAAUUUUACUUAAGAAAUGGAAUCAGCUUGUGAAAUGAAAAUAUUCUAUAGCUGGAACUUAACUGAAGAGUCUCAGAAACAAGCACAGUUAGUAUAGAAAAGAUUAAUUAAAAUAGCCAAUGUGGUCUGUGGGCCAAAUGAGACUACCUGUGGCCCGCAAAGACUGUAUGCUUUAGCAACUAGGGCACUUUGAGCGUGAAAGAGCAUUGCAUGCUGGGACCUGUAGUUCUGUGGACUGCACCACCAUGUCUGAGGAUGGGCUUGAUUCUGCUCUCACACUGGUAAAAUAGCAGUAACUGUACUAAAGUCAAUGGAGUAGCAUUGGAGUGAAAAACAGCAUGAAAGGGGAUUCUGGCCUAGAGAUGGGCCCAAGAUGCAAAGCUCAGAUCCAUAUGCAAAUUCUCCAGCAUGUGGUGGGGUCAAAACUGGAGUUUGGACUUGGCCCAUUUUAGAGAUGGGCUGCCUGCAAAGUUUAGAUCCAGAGGCAAAUCUGGAUGCAAACGUCUGCAAAUUUAAGGGUUGUGUGGAUUCAGAGUUUUGUUACAGGCCUAACUCUAGUUAAAGAUCAGGGCAGCUUCAAAAUGUUCCAUUUUAUGCAAAUUGGUGUAUCUGGCUGGCUCCUUAUGGAUUUGCCAAUAUGGUCCUAAAAUGAGAGGGUUUGGGGUGCCCUUGAGUUAAAAUUUGCAGGCGCAAACCAGCAAAUCUACAUCUCUGAAUAUAACCUAGGUCUACCAGGAUUAUUUGUGGUCUCUUUUCCACAGUCUGAUGGUAGAGGAUGAUGGUGCCAUUAUACUAUGGUCGUGCUUUUGUAGACCAUCUAAACUUAGCCACAUGUCCCAGAGUAGCUGGUCCCUGGGGAUAGAUUAAGCCCAGGGUCCCUGUACUGGAGCAGGUGAGCCCCAAUCCAGCUAAUUAAAAAGGCUAGGCUACCCCUGGGCCUAUAAAGGGCUGCUCGCAGGCAGUUAGGGAGGAAGGACUGAGAGGAGGGAAAGCUACAGUGGCGUGGAGCUGGCUGCUGUGAUGGGUCCCUGGAGCAAGGGAAGGGAGUAGAGCUGACUGAGCAUGGGAGGCUGCCAGGAGGAGACCCCUGGGAAGAGUAGCCCUGCAGC